GUUGUACCUGCUGCCCAGUGGGGCAGGGAGGAGAAGCGUGCCAGCUGGGACAAGCCAGGAAAACAAGGUACACUUGACCAUCAAGCUGACCAGCAUCAGUUCGUUGACGUUCAACAUUCCCAGACAUCUCAGAGCUGUUUACAAGUGCCCACGGAUGUCCAUUUGAUUGACUAGUGAACUGCAGCCAAGCCGGAAAAACUCUGCUAAGUGCAUUGAAUGCUCUGGGAUGGAAAUGCAGGAAUUUUAGAGAGAGAGCCAUGAUCUGAGACCUGA